AGAAGACGACAUCGCGGCGGUACUGCAGCGUGAGACUCAUGGCGAUGGUGGGGGCGCUGUCCUGCAUGAGCAGGAACACCAUGGCCUUCUUGGCUUUGUCGCUCAUCAGGGAGACGCAGUCGCUCCGCCUGUAGGGAGGCGCGCUUGUUUCUGGUCCCUUCGCUGCCGUCCAAAUGAGCCGAGUGGCGCGAGGGCGAGGUGGCGGCGCGAGACGGAGAAGUCGGGUGGCGAGAAGGGGAGCGGGAUGGAGACCGGGAGGAAGGAGAUCGAGAGGAUGGAGAGAGGGAGGAGGAGGAGGGGGACGGGGUGCUUCGCUGGCUGAACUCCGGACGAGCGGCUGCCAGAGAGAGGAUCGCUGAGGCGAGCAGUUUGGAGUCGCACGCGGUCACUAACUGACGCGUCUGUGGUGGAAAAGAGGAGGCGGCAGGUGACGUUAAAGCUGCGCUAGCAAGCUAAUGUGAGAGAGUCAGGACACCAGAGCUGGCUCUUACCUUCUCUUUGAGGAUGGUCAGAGUUCUCUCCAGAGCGUUGGCUGAGCGUUCCUUGGCAGCGCGCGACAGUCGCUCAGUGUAGUAACACACCUGUGUCUUCAGAGUGUUGAUCUGACCAAUAAGCUCCUUUGCUUUCACCACGUCCUGCGGCUGAUAAGCUUUUCCAGCCGGUGCAGGAGCCUCCGGAGGCCGCAGCCUUUAAAGCCUUGAUGAUGAGCGGCAGGAGCGCCGAUGGUCACCACGUCAUACGUCCGGUCUGGUCCAAAGGACAGAGGAUUACAGUGUUUUUUUAAAGACCACCAGUGAAAUCAGCAGCGUGUAAACAUGUGAGCACAGAGACGCACCAUAACCACACUCUCCCUGGACUCUCAUCCUCUGGAUGUGCAGGUUUGUGGGAAUGAACUCCAGCUUCCUCUCAGCUUUCAAGGUGCUCGACUUAAACGAUGGACCUGACGGGAAGAUAAGAGACAUGAGGUCACUUAUGGUCUCCUGGUAGGUGAGGAUGAUGGUCUGGUACUGAGUGAUGAUCUGCCUCCUGAGGUUUUCCCAGCACGGUGACAGCUCGCCCAGUUCUUCCAGCUCACACACCCUAGGCACAGAGGACACGAUCGGUCACCUGACGGCGUCUUCCUCCAGCAGCAGUUUGACGAACUGUCGAGGGAUGUGCAGCGAGAGCGCGCUCUCCGCCAUCUGCUCCAGGACACGCAGGUGGUUCCCGUCCGUGGUGGGGAAGCGGUACGUCCUCGACAUCACGCCCCCGAACACUGGAGCAGACAGAACGGUGCUUUUUAUUUUACAACCGACAGCGAGGGAACCGGGUCACGUGUUCACGUGGACACAAACUCACCAGCCUUCAGCAGCGGAUCUUUACACAGGGAUGAAGACUUGGAUUUGAUUCCCACAGACUCAGUCAAGCUCUCGUCAACGGGGAGCACCAUCUGACACAAGAAGAAGAAGAAGAACCCUGCUGAUCGUUUUCCUUGGACAAGAGGAGACUGCUGGGCCUUCAACUUCAACUUCACCAGAGAGUUCUGUCACCAAGGCUUUGGAGUCAGGGAUUUAAGUUAAGUUGGACGACUGUUCAGUUCAGAGGAGAACAGAGACAAUGACAGAGCGCCAUCUCAGAUUCUGAAGAGUUGAAACAUAUAAUCUCACCAAUCCUCGAGACACUACUCCCUAUCAAUUUCCAUGGAGACGACCUUCACGGCGCAUAGUUUCCGUCUUAUCGUCGCCCUUUCUCAGAUAAUUUAGGAACAACACGUCUGGAAGUCGAAAGAUUUUCUCUCACACUCCUGAUGUUUCGUUUGGUCUUGAUACAUUUUUAAAUCAUAUCUUUUUGUCUUUCUGUCGUACCAGUGGAGGCUACGUCCAUUUCCAGCGUUCUCCUUCUCUUAACGAGAGAAGACGAGUUAAAAUUAACAACGCCAGAUUGAAGAGUUGGCUUCAGCUCUCCUCUGUGCAUCGAUUCAGCUCCUGUUAAGAGCUGAGAAGACACAUAAAACACAGAGUGGAGGACAGAGACCUGGAAGAAGGAGCGGGGAAGAGUAAAUGAUGUGUAGAUUCUCAUUCAUCCAAUCCUUUUCACCAGUCCUCGUGACAUGGCUCUCUGAAUGCUUGUAGCAAAGGGACGAGGAUGUUGUCCAUGAUGACGAUGAGGACAUUUCUGGAAUGAGGCCUGAGACGCUUUAACUGAUCUGAAACGCCGGGGAGCAGCUGAUGAGGCAGAGACUGGAGGAACUCGAGUUAAUUACCCGAGUUGACGCAUCUGAAUGGUGCAUCUGCUCAGGGCGGAGCCUCGGAAGAAUCAUAAACGGCUUCAUUGGACGCAACUUUAGUGAACUUCCCCCGAGAACAACAUGAGUCAUCAACAAUCUCACAGUAAAUUUGAGGGAAAUGCAACGUUUAAAACGCAAUAAAUAUGCUAUACUGGAAUAUUGGAACUAGUGGAAAUGGCUUUUGGUGUUUUUAGGUUAUAUAUGAGUGUGUUUUUUUAGUAAAUUAAACCCACAACGAGUUGAAAGACAACUUACUCUACCACUGCUCUGCCGUCGCCCAUAUAUUACAUAUUGCGAUCAGUCAAAAUAAUCACAAUUAGAUAUCUAUUCCUAACCCUUCAGCUAUGACACCUACACACAUUUAGGUCUAACCAACAAACACAUCGUUCCAUUUCACCAAAAAACAAAACAUAACGUAAUUACUGCCAUGAUUAAAGCACUAAUAUGUUGCUUCUUAAUGUCGCAGGGACUUUAGGAAGAGGAGAAAGUGAAGCAGCCGGAGCUCUGAUGACGAACCUGAGCUGAAAACUGCUCCAAACGUCGCAGAGUGUGUCCAGGUAUUGAUGAAGUCUCAGUCCAGAGCUGAGCCGUGCUCGACCGCUGUCCCACGAGUCACAUCCACAGUUGUCUCUUUAAUAAAGAUUGGCUGAUGUAAGCCAGCAAUGGGCGGAACGAUCGAUCAAUCAAUCAAUCAAUUGUCUUUUUUGGAUGUGAACGAUCACAGGAGGAGGAGAACGAGGAAAGUGGAAAUCGUUUAACCACGACAGUGACUGGACGUGGCAUCAGGCGUAAAGAAGCUGAGAGAAGACACCGUCGAGGAGGAGCCAGAUCACAAUUUGAUUUGUUUUUAAAUCAGGCUCCGAUUGCACAUUACCAGCUGUCAAUCACACUGUGUCCUCACACAUGGUUUGUCAUUAGGGGCGGGACAAAAUAUCACUUUGGUGACAUAUCGCCGCCCUUCCUCGUGCAGCGCAAUAACCGAUACGUCAGGGCAAAAUAACGAUAUUUAAAGAGUAAACAGUCCCAGCCAGUUUCACUCGGCGGGCGUUGCUACUUCACGUGUCCUCACGGUGGCGCUGCUCAAAUG